rnacentral:hammerhead_ribozyme from 1 species
UUUCUGAUGAAGAGUCCCAGACUGGGACGAAACAGCUGUCCAGCAC